AGGGCACAGCUACUUAGGUCUGCUCACUGUGUGAGAACCGAAAGCGCAAGUCAGGCUCACUGCACCUGCAUAUGGGGAAGCCAGAAAAACCUGUUCCAAACUUCUGAGACACCACCUGUCCUAACACUGAAGGAUCAUAAAAAAUUUGCUUUCACCAAGAAGUUCAGAAAAUUUAACAUGGCUGAUGUGAUAAAGGGUUGGGUCUUUCUCUGAAGCUCAAGAAGGAAGGAGAAUUUGAGGAAGGCUGAUCAGAGAAGAGAGGUGAUAAAAUAGAGAGAAAGGUCUCUGGAGAGAUCAGCUACACGGUAGCCAGCUGGGACCUGUGGAGGACAAAGAUCAUUAUGAUAUCCCCUGCAGCAGGAAGCAGCAAAUGAACUGUCAGGCCAGUGAGGUCCGACACCCAAUUAUAAGUUGUCAAACAUAUACUCAUCCCUACAUUUGUUAACGUUAUUUUUAUUUACCUUCUGUUUUGUGUCCAGCACUGAUAUUGUGCUAAAUCCUUCAGACAAAGUUUGGUGCUUUCAUGACCUGACUAUGUGUUUGCAGUAAGUGUUUGGAGAAAUGAGGGAGGUAAGAGAAGAAGGGCUGUGUAUGUUCACAUUUUGGGGCACAGCAGUCCCCAGAUCAGCUGGGGAAGCAAGGUGAGCUAGUGACAAGGUGGCCAGAAAGUAUAGAUGAGCAGCUAGAAACAGGAGUGGAGAGAGACAGGGUGAACUGG